rnacentral:lncRNA from 1 species
CAGUUGGAACUACGGCCAAUUUGGAUGUAGUUCCAUCUGCAGCAUUUGAACCUUCUUGUGCAGUUAAACUCAACUACACUAAACCAAACAAAGGAAUUGAGGCUGCACGCAUUUGCAACUGCAUGUAAAUACAAAUUUCGUGUUUGGUUUGAUGUAUUUAACCCCAACUGGUACAGUAGGAAUUGCAGAAGGAGGUCCAACUGUAGCAGUUUGAAAUCCGCCCAAAUUUGCCGCAAUUCCAACUACAGCAGUUGGAGAGAGUAACUUUAAAUAAAAGGUAUGCUUACCUCCUCAAUAUUUUUUAAACAAUUUUUUUUUUUUUUUUUUUACAUUGGAGGUAAUCUCACCAUCAUAUAUAUAUAUAAUAAUAAUAAAAUUUUAAAAAUUAUUUCUCAACUGCACGCAACCAAACAAAUUAUUUAUACUUGCAGCGCUUUCUACUAUAUUCAACCAAAUAUGAUUCAUGUAGUUGUAACUGCUGUAUUUCCAACUAUAUGCAUCACUAACUACAUUGUAUUUAUAAUUACUUCUAACUAAAUGGCCCCUAAGACAGAGAGAGAGAGAGAGAGAGAGAGAGAGAAAGAGGGUGGGAGAGAGAGUGGAGGGACCGCUCGAGCCGCCCACCCCCGCAUUGUUUUAAAGUUUUGAUUUUACUACCUAACCUCACAUUGUUUGAUUUAUAAAAUUUAGCAUAAAUUAUGCCAUUUUUACUAGAAUUUAAUCUUUGUAAUUAAAAAAAAACUGAUGGAAUAUUCCCUCAAACGGCAAUUACAAAACCUCCUGACAAAAAAGUCAAGCAUACCAUUGACAUCUGUUUGAGACAUACUAUAUAUUUAAAUAAAACAUAUUAUAAGAUUGGUAGUAAAAUCACAAGUUUCUAAAGGCACUGUACUUUGUUACAACACAAGGCAUAAUAGUUUAGGUAAGGUCCACACAAUCUUUUAGCAAAUAUCAAGCAUUCCUCCACACUACCACAUACAACAUCAUAGUAACAAACCAUUACAUACUAUCUUACUCUUACACAACAUAGGCCACAAGUAGGGAUGUCAAUGGGUAUGGAUACCCGAAAUUUUAUCCGAACCCGAACCCGAACCCGAAUGAAACGGAUAUAUCCGAUGGAUAUGGAUAUGGAUUCGGAUAUGGAUAUCAAAAAUAGAAACCCGACGGAUAUGGAUUCGGAUAUGGAUUUUGAUUGUACCCGACCCGAACCCGAACCCGACCCGAACCCGAAUUUAUUUUGUAUUAU